UACGGAGGAUGCAAGCGUUAUCCGGAUUUAUUGGGCGUAAAGCGUCCGCAGGUGGUUUUACAAGUCUGCUGUCAAAGCGCGGAGCUUAACUCCGUAAGGGCGGUGGAAACUGUGAGACUAGAGUCUGGUAGGGGUCACGGGAAUUCCCAGUGUAGCGGUGAAAUGCGUAGAUAUUGGGAAGAACACCGGCGGCGAAAGCGCGUGACUGGACCGGAACUGACACUGAGGGACGAAAGCUAGGGGAGCGAAA
rnacentral:rRNA from 1 species